AUGAGGAUGUCAAGCCGUCUCCUACUAUGUGUCUCCCCAUUGUGCGUCCCCGACCCUGGACCAUGGCACAGAGACAAAAACCCUCUCACCCCAAAGCUUCCUCCCAAGCCUCUCACGUUGUGGGUGGAGAGGAAGGACUCACUGGCAGCGACACAAUCCUCACCUACAGAAGCCCCCCCUAGACCUGCCUUACCCAAGCGACCCACAACCAUCCAUAAAACACACAGACUGCCUCAGAGGAGACCAGUGGAACUGAAAGUGACCCAGAGGACAACACUAAAGGAGGGUCCAGGCGCUCGGUCUAUGUCCAGUCCACGCUGA
rnacentral:lncRNA from 1 species